UGAACAUGGUUCCAUUUCACUUUUGUUACAACAGAUCGAUAGUUGCAUUUCAAGCUAUUUAAAGAGAAGGAGAAGUAUGAAAGGGGAAAGUGAUGACAAUGGGGAGGAAGAGGAAGAGGAGCAGGAGGAAGAGGGCAUGGUCUGUGUAAACGGAUAGCAGCAAAACUGCCAUGCUAAGUGAAAGAGAGAACCACACUGACCUCGCAGCAACAUUUCACUUCAUAAAUAUAAAAACGAUAGAAAUACAUCAACAGGUAAACAAACAACAAAAGUCCACUUCAGUAGUGAUAAUGAAUGACAGGUAGUCAGUCCACUUCAGUAGUGAUAAUGAAUGACAGGUAGCCAGUCCACUUCAGUAGUGAUAAUGAAUGACAGGUAGCCAGUCCACUUCAGUAGUGAUAAUGAAUGACAGGUAGCCAGUCCACUUCAGUAGUGAUAAUGAAUGACAGGUAGUCAGUCCACUUCAGUAGUGAUAAUGAAUGACAGGUAGCCAGUCCACUUCAGUAGUGAUAAUGAAUGACAGGUAGCCAGUCCACUUCAGUAGUGAUAAUGAAUGACAGGUAGCCAGUCCACUUCAGUAGUGAUAAUGAAUGACAGGUAGUCAGUCCACUUCAGUAGUGAUAAUGAAUGACAGGUAGCCAGUCCACUUCAGUAGUGAUAAUGAAUGUAUAUUUAAAGAAUUCCAGAAUGUAGGAAAGUUAUUGGGUGUUAGUAACUGGGCUGUUGCAUCGUGACGUCUUGAGGGUUGUUUGAGCUAUUAAUGUUUGUUUUGUAACAUUUGUAUCCACCUGUAUAAUAACAGUAAUGUAAUCACAUGUUGUUACAGUAUAUCCAGUUGAAUGUUACUCCUUGUCAGAUGAGGGAAAACAACAUAACAUUACUAUAGUGUGAAGCUACAGCAGAGGAGAGACUAGUAUUUAACUAAACUAAAUAUCCCCCAAAACACAAAAUACACAACAUAUACUUAAUCAUAUAUAAGCAUAUAAGCCUCUGGUAGUUAAACUGCGCCAUCACCAUCAUUUGCAAAAGUGCAUCCUCUUUCAUCACAUACAAAUAUUUAAAACAUCUUCUUAACUGUUCUUAUUCCUUUGUCCUGGUUAUUUUUCCUGAGUUUUACAAACAGCUCCUUUGAUUCCAUCGUUCAGUCACUGAGGACUUACAGUACCAGUCAAAAGUCUGGACACACCUACUCAUUCAAGGGUUUUUCUUUAUUUGUACUAUUUUCUACAUUGUAGAAUAAUAGUGAAGACAUCAAAACUAUGAAAUAACACAAAUGGAAUCAUGUAGUAACCAGAAAAGUUUUAAAGAAAUUAAAAUAUAUUUUAUAUUUGAGAAUAUUCAAAGUAGCCACCCUUUGCCUUGAUGACAGCUUUGCACACUUUUGACAUUCUCUCAACCAACUUCAUGAGGUAGUCACCUGGAAUGCAUUUCAAUUAACAGGUGUGCCUUGUUAAAAGUUAAUUUGUGGAAUUUCUUUCCUUCUUAAUGCAUUUGAGGCGAAUCAGUUGUGUUGUGACAAGUUAGGGGUGGUAUAGAGAAGAUAGCCCUUUUUGGUAAAAGACCAAGUCCAUAUUAUAGCAAGAACAGAUCAAUUAAGAAAAGAGAAACGACAGUCCAUCAUUACUUUAAGACAUGAAGGUCAGUCAACACGGAUAAUUUUGAGAACUUUGAAAGUUUCUUCAAGUCCAGUCGCUGAAACCAUCAAGCGCUGUGAUGAAACUUGCUCUCAUGAGGACUGCCACAGGAAAGGAAGACCAAGAGUUACCUCUGCUGCAGAGGAUAAGUUCAUUAGAGUUACCAGCCUCAGAAAUUGCAGCCCAAAUAAAUGCUUCACAGAGUUCAAGUAACAGACACAUCUCAACAUCAACUGUUCAGAGGAGACUGCAUGAAUCAGGCCAUCAUGGUUGAAUUGCUGCAAAGAAACCCCUACUAAAGGACACCAAUAAGAAGAAGAGACUUGCUUGGGCCAAGAAAUAUGAGCAAUGGACAUUAGACCGGUGGAAAUCUGUCCUUUGGUCUGAUGAGUCCAAAUGUGAGAUUUUUGGUUCCAAACGCCAUGUCUUUGUGAAACACAGAGUAGGUGAACAGAUGAUCUCUGUAUGUGUGGUUCCCACCGUAAAGCAUGGAUGAGAUGGUGUGGGGAUGCUUUUCUGGUGACACUGUCAGUGAUUUACUUACAAUUCAAGGCACACUUAACCAGCAUGGCUACCACAGCAUUCUGCAGCGAUACGCCAUUGCUGAUUUUCAACAGGACAAUGACCCAACACACCUCCAGGCUGUGUAAGGCCUAUUUGACCAAGAAGGAGAGUGAUGUAGGGCUGCAUCAGAUGACCUGGCCUCCACACUCACCUCACCUCAACCCAAUUUAGAUGGUUUGGGAUGAGUUGGAUCGCAGAGUGAAGGAAAAAGCAGCCAACAAGUGUUCAGUGUGUGUGGGAACUCCUUCAAGACUGUUGGAAAAGCAUUCCAGGUGAAGCUGGUUGAGAGAAUGCCAAGAGUGUGCAAAGCUGUCAUCAAGGUAAAUGGUGGCUACUUUGAAGUAUCUCAAAUAUAAAAUAUUUUUUGAUUUGUUUAAAACUUUUUUGUUUACAUAAUUCCAUAUGUGUUAUUUUAUAGUUGUGAUGUAUUCACUAUUAUUCCACAAUGUAGAAAAUAGUAAAAAAUAAAGAAAAACCUUUUAAUGAGUAAGUGUGUCCAAACUUCUGACUGGUACUGUAUAUUGAUCUCAUCUUUCUAUUGUGUUUUGUUUAUUUUUAUGCACCGUGCCCCUCUUCCUGUGUCGUUCAACCACUGUUUAGUGUUCUCUGUCUGUACAUGAAAGUAGAGUAGAAGAAGACUUCUCUGUCUGUACAUGAAAGUAGAGUAGAAGAAGAAGAACAAGAGGAGACCCAAAGGGAGAAGUGGAGACAAAACAAUAGAACUGUGGCGAAGGGAAAGGUACUGUAAUUGCUUCCACAGCUCUUAGUAGUCUUGGCUUUGGUGAGCUUGUAUUUGUUCACCACUGGGUCAUCUUGGAAACAAAUCUAAAGAGUAGAAGGCAGAAAAACAACAUUUGAUGAACAAGGUCGAGGCAGACAGAGGUUAAAGGACGCCAUAUCCGAUCAAAUCCGUUUAGCCCGCAGAGGAUUUAGCCAGUUACCAUGGCCGUGGCCUGGGUCGUCUCCUUGGUGAUGGAGGCUAACCACAGAUCUAGGAUCAGAUUCCCCUUACCCCCAACCCUAACCAUACAAGGGUGACAAGAUAUUUGACCAUGUCUUAAUGGUUAGGGUAAAGGUCUACCUACUUCAGGGUCGUAUUCAUUACUGCACACCGUAGCAUAAUGUUUUGCAGCGGAAAAUGAAAACAAGCCUUUCUUAUUGGACAAGUCCAGGUAGUCCCUCCCAGGUAAGGUUGUUUUGAGGUUGGAUCUGGGUGAUUUAGGUUCGAGGUUCCAUGUUCUAGACCUGGGUGGAGAAUGAGCGUCGGAGAGGGGGCCGCCCCUCAGGGUGGGCGGGGCAGGGGGCGUGGUGCUCAGAGAUGGAGGGCAGGUCUAGACUUCGCUGGAGAUGAAGCGCCGCGAGGGGAGGAGCACAUCGGGAGGGACGGGGCACAGGUAUGGCUGAUGGUCAUGUGAUCUCAGUGUACGGUAGUCUUGGAACCUGGGGGAGGAGAGAGAAGGAGAGAACAAGGUUAGGAGGCAAGAAGGAUAGGAAUGUGUUAAAGAAUUAGUAGUACAGGGUGACUGAGAUUUAAAGAGGUAGAGGUCUGUUUUGGGAGGGGACAAAAGGUUUAGACAGAUCGGGUUUCAUAAAGCUGGAAAGGGGGAGGAUAUUAUUACUGAACAGUAUAAUCUAUUUAAAUUUGUUUUAUCCAGGUUAAUAAUUAGGGAUAUGGGGGUUAACCAGGCGAGAGAACACAUAUAGCAACCAAACCAAUAAACUAAAGAGUAGAGGUCGACCGAUUAUGAUUUUUCAGCGCCGAUACCGAUUCCGAUAAUUGGAGGACCAAAAAAGCCGAUACCGAUUAAUCGGACGUUUUUUUUAAAUGUAUUUGUAAUAAUGACAAUUACAACAAUACUGAAUGAACACUUAUUUUAACUUAAUAUAAUACAUCAAUAAAAAUGUAUUUAGCCCCAAAUAAAUAAUGAAACAUGUACAAUUUGGUUUAAAUAAUGCAAAAACAAAGUGUUGGAGAAGUAAAAGUGCCAUAUGUGCCAUGUAAAAAAGCUAACGUUUGAGUUCCUUGCUCAGAACAUGAGAACAUAUUAAAGUUGGUGGUUCCUUUUAACAUGAGACUUCAAUAUUCCAAGGUAAGAGGGUUUAGGUUGUACUUAAUAUAGUAUUUUUAAAAUGUAAUUUAUUUCAUAUACCUUUGGCAAUUGGAUGUUCUUAUAGGCACUAUAGUAUUGCCAGUGUAACAGUAUAGCUUCCGUCCCUCUUCUCACCCCUACCUGGGCUCGAACCAGGAACACAUCGACAACAGCCACACUCGAAGCAGCGUUACCCUUGCAGAGCAAGGGGAACAACUACUCCAAGUCUCAGAGCAAGUGACGUUUGAAACGCUAUUAGCGCGCACCCCGCUAACUAGCUAGCCAUUUCACAUUGGUUACACCAGCCAUUACGCCGAUAGGCUUGAAGUCAUAAACAGAGCUGUGCUUGCGAAGAGCUGCUGGCAAAACGCACAAAAGUGCUGUUUGAAUGAAUGCUUACGAGCCUGCUGCUGCCUACCAUUGCUCAGUCAGACUGCUCUAUCAAAUCAUAGACUUAAUUAUAACAUAACACACAGAAAUACGAGCCUUUGGUCAUUAAUAUGGUAGAAUCCGGAAACUAUCAUUUCAAAAACAAAACGUUUAUUAUUUCAGUGAAAUACGGAACCGUUCGGUAUUUUAUCUAAUCGGUGGCAUCCCUAAAUCUAAAUAUUCCUGUUACAUUGCACAACCUUCAAUGUUAUGUCAUAAUUACGUAAUAUUCUGGCAAAUUAGUUCGCAAUGAGCUGCCCAAACUGUUGCAAAUACCCUAACUCUGCGUGCAAUGAACACCAGAGAAAUGACACAAUUUCACCAGGUUAAUAUUGCCUGCUAACCUGGAUUUCUUUUAGCUAAAUAUGCAGGUUUAAAAAUAUAUACUUCUGUGUAUUAAUUUUAAGAAAGGCAUUGGUGUUUAUGGUUAGGUCCAGUCAUCCCAAUGAUUGUGCUUUUUUCGCAAAUG